GUUGACCUCGAAUCAGGUAGGGAUACCCGCUGAACUUAAGCAUAUCAAUAAGCGGAGGAAAAGAAACCAACCGGGAUUACCCUAGUAACGGCGAGUGAAGCGGUAACAGCUCAAAUUUGAAAUCUGGCUCCCUGCGGAGUCCGAGUUGUAAUUUGUAGAAGAUGCUUUGGGUGCUCGGCCCGGUCUAAGUUCCUUGGAACAGGACGUCGUAGAGGGUGAGAAUCCCGUAUGCGGCCGGGGUGGGUGCUCGUGUAAAGCUCUUUCGACGAGUCGAGUUGUUUGGGAAUGCAGCUCAAAAUGGGUGGUAAAUUUCAUCUAAAGCUAAAUAUGGGCCAGAGACCGAUAGCGCACAAGUAGAGUGAUCGAAAGAUGAAAAGCACUUUGGAAAGAGAGUUAAACAGUACGUGAAAUUGUUGAAAGGGAAGCGCUUGCAACCAGACUUGGGCGUCGCUGAUCAUCCAAAGUUUUCUUUGGUGCACUNGACGACGUACAGGCCAGCAUCGGUUGGGGUGGUGGGAGAAAGGUUGUAGGAACGUAGCUCUUUUCGGGGAGUGUUAUAGCCUGCGACGCAAUGCCGCCUACCCUGACCGAGGACCGCGCUUCGGCUAGGAUGCUGGCGUAAUGGUUGUAAGCGACCCGUCUUGAAACACGGACCAAGGAGUCUAACAUCUAUGCGAGUGUUUGGGUGCGAAACCCAUGCGCGAAAUGAAAGUGAACGUAGGUGAGAACCCUUCGAGGGGGCAUCAUCGACCGAUC
rnacentral:rRNA from 1 species